rnacentral:miRNA from 1 species
AUAAAUCUGCCUAUGAAUCUGUCACAUUCAUGAUGAUUUUAUAUAUAUGUAUGUGUGUGUGUGUGUGUGUGUGUGUGUAUAUGCAUAUAUACAUAUAUCUGUCUUGUUUCAAAAUGU